rnacentral:rRNA from 1 species
CCUACGGGUGGCUGCAGUGAGGAAUAUUGGUCAAUGGGCGCGAGCCUGAACCAGCCAAGUAGCGUGAAGGAUGACUGCCCUACGGGUUGUAAACUUCUUUUGUAAGGGAAUAAAGUGCGGCACGUGUCCCGUUUUGUAUGUACUUUAUGAAUAAGGAUCGGCUAACUCCGUGACAGCAGCCGCGGUAAUACGGAGGACCCGAGCGUUAUCCGGAUUUAUUGGGUUUAAAGGGAGCGUAGAUGGGUUGUUAAGUCAGUUGUGAAAGUUUGGGGCUCAACCGUAAAAUUGCAAUUGAUACUGGCAGCCUUGAGUACAGUUGAGGUAGGCGGAAUUCGUGGUGUAGCGGUGAAAUGCUUAGAGAUCACGAAGAACUCCGAUUGCGAAGGCAGCUUACUAAACGGCCACUGACAUUGAUGCUCGAAAGUGUGGGUAUCAAACAGGAUUAGAUACCCGAGUAGUC